UUUCUCCAUUUGUGGUCUAAAACGAAAAAAACGGAUUAAGGACAGUUUCUCCUGUUUCCUCAGUCAUGGUUUCAAACUGAAAAACGAACUGCCAGAAAGUACACUGACCGUUUACACCACCGCCGGGCUGUUCGUGUGUUUGUCACAUAACGGGAUGGAAACAGCCACCAGAUUGGACAGGGGAUGGCUAGUACUGACCUUGCCCAGAUUAUACUGUGCGUUCCAGCGAGGAUUGUUUGACCGGAUCAUGUGAGUCCUGCGAUUCCAGGCUCGAACGAUGGUCACCACCAGCGUUCCUCUCCAGGCCUGAUAUGGACAGCAGUUGUGGUCCAGGUUAGAUUGACCAUUGCAGUUUGGUUGGUUGGGUGUGCUGAGGGCGUUCUCCUUUAAGUAGUCUUC